CCUACGGGAGGCUGCAGUGGGGAAUAUUGGACAAUGGGCGAAAGCCUGAUCCAGCCAUGCCGCGUGUGUGAAGAAGGCCUUCGGGUUGUAAAGCACUUUCAGUGGGGAAGAAAGCCUUGGGGCUAAUACCCUCGAGGAAGGACAUCACCCACAGAAGAAGCACCGGCUAACUCCGUGCCAGCAGCCGCGGUAAUACGGAGGGUGCGAGCGUUAAUAGGAAUUACUGGGCGUAAAGCGCGCGUAGGCGGUCUGAUAAGCCGGUUGUGAAAGCCCCGGGCUCAACCUGGGAACGGCAUCCGGAACUGUCAGGCUAGAGUGCAGGAGAGGAGGGUAGAAUUCCCGGUGUAGCGGUGAAAUGCGUAGAGAUCGGGAGGAAUACCAGUGGCGAAGGCGGCCUUCUGGACUGACACUGACGCUGAGGUGCGAAAGCGUGGGUAGCAAACAGGAUUAGAUACCCUGGUAGUC
rnacentral:rRNA from 1 species